CCCGGGCCUUGUACACACCGCCCGUCACACCACGAAAGUUGGCUCGACCCGAAGUCGCUAACCCAACCGCAAGGAGGGAGGCGCCAACGGUCUGGCGAUGAUUGGGGUG
rnacentral:rRNA from 1 species